rnacentral:rRNA from 1 species
ACAAAGCGCGGGGCACCAUCAGGGGUUAAGACGAGGUGUGUAGUCGUGAAUCUGAAUAAUUUGGCGUAAUGCGCACUCAGGCGGGCUGUCAAUUCGUAUGUGAAAUCCCCGGGCUCAACCUGGGAACUGCAUUCGAAACUGGCAUGCUAGAGGCUUGGAGAGGGGGGUAGAAUGCCAGGUGGAGCGGUGAAAUGCGUAGAGAUCUGGAGGAAUACCGGUGGCGAAGGCGGCCCCCUGGACAAAGACUGACGCUCAGGUGCGAAAGCGUGGGGAGCAAACAGGAUUAGAUACCCUAGUAGUC